ACACAUGGCCAACGCGGGUCAAACUGUAGUAGCUGUUCUUAUCAGCUUAAUAUCUCAUAGGGGUUUAAUUUGGACCCAAGAUGUUAAACUUACUUUUGCAAGUUGGCGAAGUGCAUGACGCCUGCUUCACCUCCGCCUUGGGCCGGCCCGGUAUUGAACGAUCUCCUUUUUUUUGCAGACGCCGA